CUUCCGCACUCCCCUCCUAUUUUGGCAUCCCUGUCUGGCUUUUUGGGGCUGCAGCCAAUGUAGCACAUAGAAGCCAACGUGUACCUAGUGUGUAGUACCUGGCAGUCCCAGACUUAAGCCCCAUCCCUGGAUUUAAGUCCCGCCUCCCACUACCAUUGGAAUUAAGCUCCCCUCCCACUGGACUUACACCCUGCCUCCUGGUGAUAUCAGCCAUCAAUCUCCGAGAGGGCAACGAAGAGAGGGCUGUAUUGGUAGCAAAAAGCAUAUUCGCCGGCAAGACAGUGUACUGUAAUUUGGACCAAAGGAAAAAAAGUCAGAACAAUGAAGUGGAGAAAGCAUGACUUCCUGGAGGAUAAUACAGUAAUCUGCGCAUCUGAGAG